rnacentral:rRNA from 1 species
UGAGGAAUAUUGGUCAAUGGACGCAAGUCUGAACCAGCCAAGUAGCGUGCAGGAUGACGGCCCUAUGGGUUGUAAACUGCUUUUAUAUGGGGAUAAAGUGGGGAACGUGUUCCCUUUUGCAGGUACCAUAUGAAUAAGGACCGGCUAAUUCCGUGCCAGCAGCCGCGGUAAUACGGAAGGUUCGGGCGUUAUCCGGAUUUAUUGGGUUUAAAGGGAGCGUAGGCCGUUUGGUAAGCGUGUUGUGAAAUGUAGGAGCUCAACUUCUAGAUUGCAGCGCGAACUGUCAGACUUGAAUGCGCACAACGUAGGCGGAAUUCAUGGUGUAGCGGUGAAAUGCUUAGAUAUCAUGAAGAACUCCGAUUGCGAAGGCAGCUUACGGGAGCGCAACUGACGCUGAAGCUCGAAGGUGCGGGUAUCGAACAGG